CAGCCCCUCAUCACAACAUCGCCAUCUCCCACAUGCGCUCAACUUUCCCUCCGUCUCAUCCAAAUCCUCACUUUCUUUAAUCUUUAUAUCUCCAAAGAACACAUCUUUCACUUCCAUUUCUAUAUUCUCCAAUUCCCUCAACAACUACUCACAUUAUUGCCGAUUCUUGUGGCCAUUCAUGGACAUGGCUUGGGUGGCUCUGCAAAUCAACUGUUUGUUUAGGGAUUGUGAAAUGGGACUAUUUGGGAGCAGCUAUAAAGAGACCCUAAUGUUAUGGGGCUUUGGGAAA